CUAAAGUUUCCCAUCAUUUUCCAUCUUCUUCACUAGCCACCAUUUCUCAAAAAGGAGAAGAUCUUGCAAAUAUCAAAGGGAAGCAAAGAGGUUUCAAGAAUAAUUAAAGCCAGUCAAACUUUUGACUGUUGAUUUUUGUGUAAUCAAGAGUUUAGAGAAGAAGUUGCAGGUACAAGUUCUUGAUGUGCAUGGAAAUCAUAAGCAUCCGGAUGGGAGUUUUAGUACACGAGUACUUUCUUAUUUAAGUUAUCUUGAAUUUUAUAUUUGACUUUACUUGACCAAUGGGGUCAAGGUUUGACUUUUGAAGAUGAGACUAGUAUGGGAUAGUCUCGGAGUUUGUAAUUCAUUUACAUACUUUCUUAUUUCCGUUGUAUUAAAGUAUUUUCAGUUUAUUUUAAAAA